CCUUAUCAAGAGUGGCGGAGGGUACAGGCCCUGUGAAGUCCGGCAACCUGAUUUAUUCAAGGUGCCAAAUCCUGCGGAUUAUCCGAAAGAUAAG
rnacentral:ncRNA from 1 species